GGUUACGUCACGGGCGGACGACCUCGGUGGUCAGGAAGGUGGCUCAGGCCCCCAGGAUAAACCUAAGAGAGUAGAGGAAAAGAUUUUCUUUCCCAACAGCCAUUAAAUGUUACAGCAAAAUAAUUUAAUUUUAGAGUCAGAGGAAAGGCCAUGUGUGGACAAAGAAGCUGUCCACAAGCCAGGAAGGGUGCUUUCACCAGGAACCAAAUCUGCCAGCACUUUGAUCUUGGACUUCAGCCUCCAGAACUAUUAAUAAAAUUGGCAAACCUCUAGCAACAGUGACAAAGAAAAAAAGAAGACAGAAAUUACCAAUAUUGGGAAUGAAAUGGGAUAUCACCACAGUCUGUGCAGAAGAUAAGGGAAUACUACAAAGAACUUUACACAUUUAAAUUUGACAACUUAGAAGAAAUGGACCAAUUCCUUAUAAAACACGAACUAUUAACAAUAUACCCAAUAUGAAAUAAAUAAUUUGAAUAGCC